GACGAACGCUGGCGGCGUGCUUAACACAUGCAAGUCGAACGGAAAGGCCCUGCUUUUGUGGGGUGCUCGAGUGGCGAACGGGUGAGUAACACGUGAGUAACCUGCCCUUGACUUUGGGAUAACUUCAGGAAACUGGGGCUAAUACCGGAUAGGAGCUCCUGCUGCAUGGUGGGGGUUGGAAAGUUUCGGCGGUUGGGGAUGGACUCGCGGCUUAUCAGCUUGUUGGUGGGGUAGUGGCUUACCAAGGCUUUGACGGGUAGCCGGCCUGAGAGGGUGACCGGCCACAUUGGGACUGAGAUACGGCCCAGACUCCUACGGGAGGCAGCAGUGGGGAAUAUUACACAAUGGGCGGAAGCCUGAUGCAGCAACGCCGCGUGCGGGAUGACAGCCUUCGGGUUGUAAACCGCUUUCGCCUGUGACGAAGCGUGAGUGGCGGUAAUGGGUAAAGAAGCACCGGCUAACUACGUG
rnacentral:rRNA from 1 species